UUUAGUCACUAAAAAAUAAAAUCACACUUUUUAGUCCUUAUAAAAUUUUCCAUCAAAAUUUUUAGUCCUUAUAAAAUUUUUCAUAAGCAUUUUUAGUCCCUAUAAAAUUUUUCCAUCAGCAUUUUUAGUCCCUAAAAUGCUUAAGGAAAAUGUCACAGGAACUAAAAAGUGUGAUUUUAUUUUGUAGGGACUAAAAACAAAACUGUGAAUAUUUAUAGGGACUAAAAACUUAAUUAACCCUU
rnacentral:lncRNA from 1 species